rnacentral:rRNA from 1 species
GAUGAACGCUAGCGGCAGGCUUAACACAUGCAAGUCGAGGGGCAGCACGAGUAGCAAUACUUGGUGGCGACCGGCGCAAGGGUGCGUAACGCGUGAGCAACAUGCCCGUAUCAGGGGGAUAAUCCAGGGAAACUUGGUCUAAUACCCCAUAGUAAUUUCGUAAGGCAUCUUAUGGGAUUUAAAGCUUUGGUGGAUACGGAUUGGCUCGCGUGACAUUAGCUAGAUGGUAAGGUAACGGCUUACCAUGGCUAUGAUGUCUAGGGGUUCUGAGAGGAAGGUCCCCCACACUGGAACUGAGACACGGUCCAGACUCCUACGGGAGGCAGCAGUGAGGAAUAUUGGACAAUGGAUGGAAAUCUGAUCCAGCCAUGCCGCGUGAAGGAAGAAUGUCCUAUGGAUUGUAAACUUCUUUUGUAUGGGAGCAAUAAGGUCUUCGUGAAGACUGAUGAGAGUACCAUACGAAUAAGCAUCGGCUAACUCCGUG